rnacentral:lncRNA from 1 species
AAAAACCCCUACUUAAGUUUGAUCUCCAAUUAGAGACAAUGAGGACCAGCUGCCUCUAAUUGGAGAUCAUCUCAAACGAAACCCCAAUACAGAAAUACAAAACUAGAAGCUAAACAUAGAAAUAGAAAACAUAGAACCCCCCCGUCACGCCCUGACCUACUCUACCAUAGAAAUAACAUAUUUCUAUGGUCAGGACGUGACAGUACCCCCACCCAAAGUUGCGGACUCCGACCGCACCUAGACAAAACAACAUACUCGUCGUCAGUGGGUUUGGCGACGAGUAUGAAGCGAGGGCCAGCCAACGAGAGCGUACAGGUCGCAGCGGUGGGUAGUAUAUGGGGCUUUGGUGACAAAACGGAUGGCACUGUGAUAGACUGCAUCCAGUUUAUUGAGUAGGGUAUUGGAGGCUAUUUUGUAAAUGACAUCGCCGAAGUCGAGGAUCGGUAGGAUGGUCAGUUUUACGAGGGUAUGUUUGGCAGCAUGAGUGAGGGAUGCUUUGUUGCGAAAUAGGAAGCCAAUUCUAGAUUUAACUUUGGAUUGGAGAUGUUUGAUGUGAGUCUGGAAGGAGCGCUUACAGUCUAACCAGACACCUAGGUAUUUGUAGUUGUCCACAUAUUCUAAGUCAGGACCAUCCAGAGUAGUGAUGCUGGACGAGCGGUCAGGUGCAGGCAGCGAUCAGUUGAAAGAGCAUGCAUUUAGUUUUACUUGUAUUUAAGAGCAGUUGGAGGCCACGGAAAGAGAGUUGUAUGGCAUUGAAGCUCGUCUGGAGAGUUGUUAACACAGUGUCCAAAGAAGGGCCAGAAGUAUACAGAAUGGUGUCGUCUGCGUAGAGGUGGAUCAGAGACUCACCAGCAGCAAGAGUGACAUCAUUGAUGUAUACAGAGAAAAUAUGUAUAUACAAAAAAAAAAUGUAUAUACUGUUUUUUAUACCAUCUAUUGCAUCUUGCCUAUGCUGCUCAGUCAUUGCUCAUCCAUAUAUUUAUGUGUAUAUAUUCUUAUUCCAUUCCUUUACUUAGAUUUCUGUGUAUUAGGUAGUUGUUGUGGAAAUGUUAGAUUACUUGUUAGAUAUUGCUGCACUGUCGGAACUAGAAGCACAAGCAUUUCGCUACACGCGCAAUAACAUCUGCUUACCAUGUGUAUGUGACCAAUAAAAUUUGAUUUGAUUAUAAGGAAAUCAGUCAAUUGAAAUUAAUUCAUUAGGCCCUAAUCUAUGGAUUUCACAUGACUGGGAAUACAGAUAUGCAUCUGUUGGUCACAGAUACCUUAAAAAAAAAUUGGGGGCGUGGAUCAGAAAAUCACUCGGUAUCUGAUGUGACCACAAUUUGCCUCAUGCAGCAAACAUCUCCUUCGCAUAGAGUUGAUCAGGCUGUUGAUUGUGGCCUGUGGAAUGUUGUCCCACUCCUCUUCAAUGGCUGUGUUGGAUAUUGGCGGGAACUGGAACACGCUGUCGUACACGUCAACCCAGAGCAUCCCAAACAUGCUCAACUGGCGACGUCUGGUGAAUAAGCAGGCCAUGGAAGAACUGGGACAUUUUCAGCUCCCAGGAAUUGUGUACAGAUCCUUGCAUGAUCAUGCUGAAACAUGAGCUUAUGUCUGCCCAUACCAUAACCCCACCAUGGGGCACUCUGUUUACAACGUGACGGGUGAAGAAGCCAGAUGUGGAGGUCCUGGGCUGGCGUGUUUACACGUAGUCUGCAGUUGUGAGGCCAGUUGGACGUACUGCCAAAUUCUCUAAAACGGCUUAUGGUAAAGAAAUGAACAUUCAAUAACUCUGGUGGACAUUCCUGCAGUCAGCAUGUCAAUUGCACUCUCCCUUAAAACUUGAGACAUCUUUGGCAUUGUGUUGUGUGACAAAACGGCACAUUUUAGAGGGCCUUUUAUUGUCCCCCGCACAAGGUGCACCUGUGUAAUGAUCAUGCUGUUGAAUCAGCUUCUUGAUAUGCCACACCUGUCAGGUGGAUGGAUUAUCGUGGCAAAGGAGAAAUGCUCACUAUCGUAAACAAAUUUGUGCACAAAAUUUGAGAGAAAUUUGAGAGAAAUAAAAAUGUUAUGCAUAUGGAACAUUUUGGGGAUAUUUUAUUUCAGCUCAUGGCACCAACACUUUACAUGUUGCGUUUAUAUUUUUGUUCAAUAUACAUACUGUUUCACAAAAUGUAGCCUAUAGUUGUGAGGGAUUACUUACUGGGCUGUAUUUGUAAGGUCAUCAAAUGUUUUCCUGACCAUGCCCAGGGACUACUUUGGUCUAGUUCUAGGUAUAUGAGAUAUACAUGGACACAUGUUGCUCUCUCAUUCUCUCUAGUGGACUGACUCUCUACCCCUUCUCCCUGAAGUGUGCAAUACUUGUCCCCUUCAUGGAUAUAAAGCAUGGAUUUAAAGCAUUGGAUUGGUGUAGGGAUUAUCUGUAGUUGUCUUGUUAAAUGGAAACAAUUACAUGUGUUAUAAAUAUAUUUCUUACUAAGGUUCCUUCCUUUUCAAUCCACGAGGGGGAAUGAAUCAGUGCACAUUUCAGGGAAGGGUAUAAACGGACCCUAGCCAUUCACUUCAUUGGGAACCAAGUUGGAAUUCCUACAGCAUUGGGCAGUUUAUCUUUUUGUUUCUAGGUAGCUGUUGACAAAUUAAAACAGAAAAUAAGUAUUUUUGUGAAUGAUUGUGUGUUGCGUAAUGGUAUGUCGAGGCUGCAGGUAGCCUAGUGGUUAGCGUGUUGGGCCAGUAACCAAAGGGUUGCCGGACUGAAUCCCCAAGCUGACAAGGUAAAAAUAUGUCUUUCUGCCCCUGAACAACCCACUGUUCC